rnacentral:piRNA from 1 species
UAUAAUAUAUGUACGCAUGGAAUGUA